rnacentral:rRNA from 1 species
GACUACCGGGGUAUCUAAGCCUGUUUGCUCCCCGCACCUUCGCGUCUCAGCGUCAGUACAUGGCCAGAUGCCUGCCUUCGCCAUUGGUGUUCUUCCAGAUAUCUACAGAUUUCACCCCUACACCUGGAAUUCCGGCAUCCCCUCCUGUACUCAAGCCCUGCAGUUUCCAGCGCGUCCCCCCGGUUGGGCCGGGGUCUUUCACGCCGGACUUGCAGGACCGCCUGCACGCCCUUUACGCCCAAUGAUUCCGAACAACGCUCGCCCCCUACGUGUUACCGCGGCUGCUGGCACGUAGUUAGCCGGGGCUUAUUCCGGGAUUCACGUCAUCCCGCGGCCAUUCCCUGCCACGGUUGUUCCCCCUCCCGAAAAGAACUUUACAACCUCACGGCCUUCUUCGUUCACGCGGCGUCGCUCCGUCAGGCUUUCGCCCAUUGCGGAAGAUUCUUAGCUGCAGCCCCCCGUAGG